UCAAUCGUACGGCCCACACAGGUCCAAUCUACCAACGCUGAAAUCCAACGGCGCAGAAGGCGAUCCGUACUCCCAAGCUCAUUCUCCCCUUUCUUCCGCAGACCAAAGAAAAAAAAUAGAGGGCGAAGGAAAUCCACGAGCGGAGAAGAGGGGAUCAAGAUGCGGCUUUCGUUCCCCCUCGUCGCCGGCGCCGUCGUGGCCGGAGUGAUUUCUGGGAAUGUGAUAUUUGGGCCGCCGCUCCAGAAGUACUGGGCAGAGAAGCAGCAGCAAGAUCAGGCGGCAAAAGAAGGCCAAACUGGGUCGACUUAA
rnacentral:rRNA from 1 species